AAUCACGUUCUUCCUUUUCUCUAACGUACCGCCCACUGGCGUUCCUGCGUUGCCAUGGUUACACUCAUGACGCUACAAGAAGGGACGUAAACAAACGAGCUCUGAGGUGAACCGAGGCUCCCAGUGCGUGUGUGUUAGGAUGUAGCUCUGCAUAGGCGUCAGUUUAUUUCGGUUAAACACCUGACGACCACAUGGAAACGUAUGUGCUUAAAAAACGACAUAUUUGUCUUAUUUUGUUCUUAACGUGAGCGAAAGUGCGUCUUCUUCUUGAGCUUAUUAAUGCGCUCUAACGGGGUGUUAUCGCCACCUACCGGUACUAAUGGGCAUGACAACUAAAAAAAGGAGAGUGGAAACUUCAUCUUAUUAUAUACCUGCAGGAACGUGCAGGUGUACAGGGGUCGCCACAGAGACUCCGCGGUUUGCACCAAUCUCUAUCCUCAGCAUCCUCUACUCUCGCACCAAUUACCUUCAUGUCCUCAUUUAACACAUCCAUAGAUCUCCUCUUUGGCCUUCCUCUUGACCUUUUACCUGGCAGCUCCAUCGCCAACAUCCUUCUACCAAUAUAACCAUCUCUCUCUUCUGUACAUGUCCAAACCAUCUCAGUUUACAACAAACUAUAAGUUUUUUUUUUUGUAAAUUGUGGACCUUACAAUACCAGUGUUACCAAUUUUUUUACCACAUGUUAAAUCUAUACGAGUGUGAAGUGUAAAGGACCUUGCAGAUGAUGAAGGUGCCAGGAAUCAGCACAAACAGCAGCAGAAGAACCCCUUGAAUAGUGAUGAUGCUGUUCUUACUCUCCUCACUGAUGUGCAGGUUCAUCUGUAUGGGGGCUAAUGAGAAACACAGAUUAUGUUCUGUCUCUAUAUACAGUAUUAUAGAUUAAUAAACAGCAAAUGGUUCCUUCUCGUAACCUCCUCAUCUCUUCACGAACCUUGUCAAAAAAUCCUACUUUCAUGAAUUUCAGUUUGUCUUGCAGGUUUUUUCUGCUAAAAGACAAAUAUUAUUGCAACUCUACUUGUUUUUUUUUAUAUAUAAUGUUUUCUAAAAAAAUAUUAAAAAUAAUUUAAAUUUUCCCAAAUAAAAUUUGACCCUAAUUGUAUUUAAAUGAAACAUCUUAAUUUGAAUUGAUCAUUAAUACUUAAUAAUUAAUGGAAAAGAAAGUUUUAAACAGUUCACAGUUAUACAGUGCUGAGAAUUCUCUCUCUCUCUCUCUCUCUCUCUCUCUCUCUCUCUAUAUAUAUAUAUAUAUAUAUAUAUAUAUAUAUAUAUAUAUAUAUAUAUAUAUAUACUCACAUAUUAUAAAUGAUAUAUGUUUCAACGACUUCUAUCAAUGUCCUUGUAUUGCUUCUUUAGUGACAGCUCACACCACAGACAUAUAUCUAUCUAUCUAUCUAUCUAUCUAUCUAUCUAUCUAUCUAUCGAUCUAUCUAUCUAUAUAUAUAUAUAUCUAUAUCUAUAUCAUAUAUAUAUAUAUAUAUAUAUAUAUAAACAGGAUGUGAUGAUUAUUCCACAUCUAAAGAAAUAUCACAUUAAAUUCCUGAAGUCAAAAAAAAAAUGUCUUGCAUUGAAGACAAACCCGGUAGAAGUGAUCCUCUAAGACAAAUAAAUAGGUAUCUUAAAUGAAUGGCUUCAAAAUGGGAUGGAAAUUGUAAUUAAAAUACCUUUUUUUGUUUCUUAUUGCCAUCAUUUAAAAUUUUUUGACAAGGAAACGGGAAACUGACAUUAACACACCUACUAUAUAUUUCUAUCAAAUAUAGUUUACACACAUCUAUGGGCUUGUAUGUGGUUCAGAAGAUCAGAAACAGAGCAACAUUAUUUAUUAUGUCACUGGCUAUAAAAUAACAUCAAAUUUCUAGUGUCGAUUUUCUAUUGUUGACUUUAAAAUAAACAUGGCUGCUCAAAUGGUAAAAUAUUCAUAUAAAAUAUUAAUGCUACCAUCUGAAGAGAAAUA